CAUUGGUUCACAUUUCAUAUUCAAGUCUGUCUGAAUGUGAAAAGAAAGGUGAGUUUAUGGGUUGAUUUAAUAUUUCUGUGCCAUUAUGUCAAGAAGAUCCCUUGGAGAAGGGAAUGGCAACCCACUCCAAUAUUCUUGCCUAAGAAAUCCCAUGGGCAGAGGAGCCUGGCGGGCUACAGUCUUUGGGAUUGCAGAGUCGGACACGCCCGAGUGACUAGCACUUUGACUUUGGAAUGGUUUUCACAAAACAGCAGAGCAAGGUCCCAGAUCCUUCUGUUGGCAACAAGGUAGUCACGUCGGAAGAACAUUUUCUUUCUUUUUUUUUUUGGCUGCACUGUGCAACUUUUGGGGUCUUAGUUUCCUGACCAGGUACUGAACCCAGGCCCUAGGCAAUGAAAGCACAGAAUCCCAACCACUGGACCACCAUGGAAUUCCUCCAGUGAACAUUUUCAUGGUAUGGAUUCAACUACGUGUCCACUCAGCAAAGAAAGAAUGUCAACAGUUUUGUCAGUGCCUGCCGUUUUGCUUUCUGCUUUUCAGUUGUUUAGACAUAUGUUCUGUGUGUGUGUUAGGAAAGUGGUACAGGGAGGUUUGUGUUUCCACAGCCCAGUUUCAGUUCCCGUGUGCCCGUCACGGUGGGUGUAUCUCAUCUUCCUGUGUGUGGUUCUAGUGUUGAAGAUAGGUGUUGUCCAUAAAAGUGGCCCAUUUCAAAGCCAGUCACAGAAUUCACCUGCUGUUUAACUGGAAAAAACAAACCAGCCAGCAGUCUCUUCCACUGCUUCUGGAAAAAACUGCCUCCGUUAAGACGUACUGACAGAUGCUGUCUGGAUCUCGGUCACAACCCAUACCCGAUGGAAGCUGAAAGCAGGCCUCUGAAGCAACCCAGGAAGUCCCAGAGAGAGGAAGAGAAAGGAUGAAGGAAGCAGAGUCAGGGUGGAGCAACACCAGGUCGGGAUCUGCUGUGUCUGUCUUUGAAGAAGAAGAGGCCACCAGCCAAGGAAUACAGGAGGCCUCUAGGAACUGGGAAAGGUGAGGAAGUGAAUUCUUCCCCAGCAUGCUAAGGGGGAAGACAGCCGUGAUGACACCUUGAUUUUAGAGACCCAUGUCAGACUUCCGACUUGCAGAACUGUAACAUAAUCAUUUGCAUCAUUUAAAGCUACUAAGUGUGCAGCAAUUUGUGAUGGCAGCAACAGGAAACUCCUGCCCUGCCAGCGCUCUCCCCUGCGCUGGAAACCCCGCAGCUUCAGAGG
ensembl:lncRNA